rnacentral:misc_RNA from 1 species
AAGACUAUAGACCUGCGGAGUACCUGCGGAGGGAUCAUUACAGAGUUGCAAAACUCCCUAACCCUUGUGAACAUACCUGUACGUCGUUGCUUCGGCGGGUAGCCCCUUUACGGGGCCUCGACCUCCCAGCGAGGUUGCCCGCCGGAGGACCACACAAAACUCUUGAAUUAAUGGCUUCUCUGAGUAUUAAUCAAAUAAGUUAAAACUUUCAGCAACGGAUCUCUAGAUCGGAAGAGCACA